GGUACCAUACAAUAGGAAAUUUCGAAUCGUGUCAGGUCCGGAAGGAAGCAGCACUAAGAAAAUCUUUCUAUGUGAUAUGACCUGCCGGG
rnacentral:SRP_RNA from 1 species